UGCCUUGAGUUUUGUAGGCAGAAAAGUGAGACUUCAGUACCUGUUGGACAGCAGAAUGUACCUCCUGCCAGCAGCCCAUGAUGUACAGUAUCUUACCGGCCCAGCAUGGUGAUCCUCUUUUGUAGAGGAACCCAGUGCAGGCCUUCCUUUUGACUGAAAACUGACCACGCAAAACAAGCUGCCCAGGGUCUGCAAGUGCCUGCAUUACUCCCAUCUCUGGAAAAGACCAUGAACAUGAAGAUCCCCGUUGGAAUCGUUAAAAGGAUCCAGGUAUCACCAGCACAGGGGUGAAGGAAGCCAAAGGGGUUUUACCAGAGCCAGUAGAGCUGCACUGUUUAUAGCAGGUGCAGAUUCUGAAACUGCCACAGUAAAAUGCUCGACAACCAUGCCUGUUACUUCCUUCCCUCCCGCUCCUUCAGCUAAGCUGUGCUUGAAGACAAAUUCAGUGGUUUCUUUGGAGAACUGCCUUCUUUUAAGAUGUCUGCCACCUUCUUCUGCUCAGAGACACUUUGGAUCUCCCCUUAUUUAACAUAAUAGGAGGCAGGAGGCAUUUUUGAAA
rnacentral:lncRNA from 1 species